rnacentral:lncRNA from 1 species
UAGAAAACACCAAGUGCUGCUGUCCUUCCCAGAUGUAGCCUGGCACUCUUCAGCCAUGGCUGCAGCAGCUUCCAUGUGAUCUAGGAUGGGCUCUCGCUUUUGAGUAGGGAACCCUGCGGAGGCUCUCUGACUUCGGACACCUCUGCUCUCUCUCUGAGUUCUCAUGUUUAUAUCCUGGGACUUAGAGCCGGACUGUCUGUCGGGCUGUCGGGUGCAGAGCUAGGUUUCUUUCUCUUUCCUAUCAUUCACCUUACUACUAGCUGCUGUCCCCACACACACACACACACACACACACACACUGCAAGUUUAAACUCAUUCAGCUUAUUUCUUGCCUAGCUGUAGAUUUAUCAUCUUUCUACUUUCUUCCUGUAAGUCUGGGCAGUGAGCAGUGACCAUCCUCCAGCCUGUGUGCUCUGCUGGCCUGAAGCUUCCUCCACAAAGCAGUUUAUCCUAAAUUCAACGUCACUCGGAUUAUCAGGACAUGGCUGAUUAUAACACGAGUAGCCUCUAGUUCAGUUCCAGUUUGGGUCCUCCUUCCUCUUGGACUCGAAAGCAUCUCUCUUGGUGGUGUGAUUUUCUGAGCUCCAGCUAAAAUGGCUCAGUAAGUCUACUUACAGCAUUCAGGAUGUUCUUUAAGCCACAACUCUAACUUAAUCUUUCUCCUGCAAAUUAGUCCCAAAGUUUGCAGGACACAUAAUCACAUUUAUCUUAGCAACAACCCUACUCCAUAGCACAAACCUUGCUCUCAGUGCCAGUUUUAUUUUUUUAACAUUUGUUUUUAUUAUUUUUAUGAUAUGUAUCGUAUGGACAUGUGUCGGUGAGUGCAGAGACCCGUGGAGCUCAGCAGUGUCUGAUCCCCUCGGAACUGUAGUUACAGGUAGUUCUGGAUGCUAAGAACCAAACUUGGGGUCUCUAGAAAUACAGUACUGAGACAUUUCUCCAGCGCCAUGUUUUCUGUGUUAGUCUUCACACAGUGACCAAAUAGCUGGCAAGAAAAAAAAUAAAAAUCAAAGCAAAAGGAGGAAGGAUUGAUUGACUUAGUUUAUUAAAGCAACGAACUUAGUUCCGUCAAACCUUGCCAGAAAUGGAAUGGCAGAAGCCUGGCACACAGGGAAUUUUGCCUUUCAGAGAAUAUACCAGGGAAAGCUAACUACAGAAAGAACAACCACCUUGCCUGUCACUGUGUUUAGAUAGGCUGGUUACAGCAGGGCUGGGUUAGAGAGGGACUCAGUACUGGGGAGAAUUAGAUUGCUGCCCUAUAGUUAACAGUUCAGUUGUGAAUGUGGCUUUUCUUUUUGUGUGCAGGGGUUUGGUUUUGGUGUUUUGUUUGUUUUUGAGACAGGCUGACCUUGAGCUUGCUGUGUAUGUAGCCCAGUGUCUUAGUGAGUGUUCUAUUACUGUGAAGCCACACCAAAACCACAGUGACUCUUACAAGGGAAGGCAUUUAAUUGGGGGCUCAGUCCAUUUUCAUGAAGGUGAAGAUCGGGAUGGCACGCAGGGAGACAUGGCACUGGAGAGGUAGCUAAGAGUUGUACGUCUGAGUCUGCAGACAGCAGGAAGAGAGCCUCUAGACUUGGAAUGGGCUUUGGAACCUCAGGGUCUACACCUAAUGACACACUUCCUCCAACAAGGCCACACCUCUUUGUCCUUUCAUAUAGUGCCCCUCUCUGGUGCCCAGUAUACAACUCUGUGAGCCUAUGGAGGCCGUUCUCAUUCAAACCACCACACUCAGUCUGGAUUCCAGCUCCGGAUCCUGCAGCCUUAGCUUCCCCGGUGCUGGGAUGGCAGACAUGGGCCUCCACAAUGCCUAGUCUUUUUUUUUUUUUUUUUUUUUUUUGCAAAGAACAUGUGAGUUUCUUCUUUGCUACCUUGAGUGGCUGUUAAAUCUCCUUGACUUCUAGAAUUCUAACAAGUCAUGUAAAGAGACAUUUUUUGAGAUAAAAAUCUCAUGCAACCCAGGUUAUCCUCCAAUUUCUUUUAUGGCCCAGAAUGACCUGGAACUCUGGAUGCUGCCAAUCUGUGGAACCACAGGCACGAGCCAUCACACCUAGUGUGUGUUGCUGAGAUCAGACUUCUUGUAAGCGAGGCAAGCGCUCUCCCAGCUAAGCUGUAAUCUACUCCCUGCAAUAUAAACAUAACCUGUCUCUAUAGUUGUGUCUGAAAUAGUUUCAGAUACAGGCAACUCGGUUCCUUUCUUGCUGUGUAUUUCUAAUCAGAUAACUGACAACUGAAAACAGAGGAAAAGAAGGUGAGCUGUUGUGAUCUCUAUCAGCGUUCUCUGUGUCAGAAUCAGCAAGCCAAUGGCCCGCACUCUCUUGCUACUCAUGAAAACUCCUGUAGCUUUUGCACUAAUGUAUACAUAGAGCUCUCCUGGUUCGUGCUCCUGCGGGUGAAGAGGGUCCCGCAACCCUAAUUAGAUCUGUUCUUUGGUCAUGGCAUCAGUUGCAUCAGUGUGACACUGGGUUCCUCCAGCUUGUGUUUUGGUUCUGUGUGUCUGUCAGGGUUUAUUAUGUAAACUUUGCAGAACUGGAGAGUGAAUGGCCCUAGGCUUGAUUGGUGGUUUAGUUUCCUUGCCUCUGGUGGUCAGCUCUGGAAAGCAAGUGACUCAAUGAUUUAUACACACCACUUCUCUUUGGUUUGUAUUAUUCUUUGUGGCUUCGGUGAGCAACAACCUUAACCUAGGGCCUGUUGACAUCUUGGGCAAAGGGCAGCAGCCUGUGACUCAGGCUCUAGCUCCUCAGAAUCCCACCCUGUCACAUGAUGCUCCAUCAACACUGCUCUGUACACCAAUAAUUUCUAAAUAAAUACAUCACGCAAAGCUGUGCUUAAAGAAUAUCUAAUGAAUCUGGGAAUUGACUUAACCAUUUUUAUCAAUAUUAUAGGGCUGCUAUGUUUUCCUAUAUGUGCAAGGUUAUUUUAAAAAAAUAAAACAUUUUUC